CGGAUCUCCUCGGCUUUGAGUUUCUCCUCCUCCCGCAUCUCGUUGUCGGACUCCAGGGCAUCAAAGACGGCAGCCCCGACCAGCAGCCACAGGAAUGCUCCACCACUGCACCAAAAUUUCCUCCAGCCUUCCCAGCAUUUGUCCUCUGAAACGCCUGAAUCUGUAUGAAGGCUUUCACACAGCUGAAUUGCUCACAGAAAAAUUAGGAGAAAAGCUCAGCAAGAUGUUGAGAAGUCAACCAACCUGUAGGGAUUUGCAGACACCCUGGCUGGCAAAGUAACAUCCUUCCUGACAUGACAUCCUCCUGCAUCCCUGGAGUCCAUACCCCCAAAAGACACAAAACAUAUGUGCAGCAGAGCGGGGCACAUCCAAUUACUGUACUUGUUCCAUGAAUCCUUUUUAAUUCUCAGGAGUCUGUGGCCUUUCUCAAGCCAGAGGAGAAAUGUCACAAUCCUGAACAAUGGGGCAAAAGCAGAGACCGUAACGUAUGAGAAAGCUGCCUGGGCAGGCACAAGAGAUGUAACCUCCUGACUUUUUGCCUUGUAGGAGACUCAAUCAGAAGGUAAGAAUACAUCACACUGACAUCUCCCUAUUCCCUCAUUAGCCUGGAGGGUCAGGCCCUUCGGCAGCCGGGCAUCCAAACACUACCAGUCUGAUUAAAAACUCCACAUUGUCAGGAAGUGAGUCAAAGAAACCCAUCUCUGGAUGAUUUCUGUUGAUAUACUUAAAUUAUGCAGCUAUAAGAAUAAAGUUAGCCCCCAUUAAAAUUCAAGUUGAUGGUGUAUUUCAUGCUCAUUAGCUUUUACAAAUAUUUUCUUCUGCGAUGGGUAAUUGAAAAAUGUGCAUGGUGACUA